AUUGAACGCUGGCGGCAGGCCUAAUACAUGCAAGUCGAGCGGAGCGGCGGACGGGGGAGUAAAGCCUAGGAAUCUGCCUGGUUGUGGGGGAUAACGUCCGGAAACGGGCGCUAAUACCGCAUACUAUCAGAUGAGCCUAGGUGGGAUUAGCUAGUUGGUGGGGUAAUGGCCUACCAAGGCGACGAUCCGUAUCUGGUCUGAGAGGAUGAUCAGUCACACUGGGACUGAGACACGGUCCAGACUCCUACGGGAGGCAGCAGUGGGGAAUAUUGGACAAUGGGCGGAAGCCUGAUCGAGCCAUGCCGCGUGUGUGAAGAAGGUCUUCGGAUUGUAAAGCACUGUAAGUUGGGAAGCGUUACCAACAGAAUAAGCACCGGCUAACUUCGUGCCAGCAGCCGCGGUAAUAC
rnacentral:rRNA from 1 species